rnacentral:rRNA from 1 species
AGUGAACGCUGGCGGUAGGCCUAACACAUGCAAGUCGAACGGCAGCACAGUAAGAGCUUGCUCUUACGGGUGGCGAGUGGCGGACGGGUGAGGAAUACAUCGGAAUCUACUUUUUCGUGGGGGAUAACGUAGGGAAACUUACGCUAAUACCGCAUACGACCUACGGGUGAAAGCAGGGGAUCUUCGGACCUUGCGCGAUUGAAUGAGCCGAUGUCGGAUUAGCUAGUUGGCGGGGUAAAGGCCCACCAAGGCGACGAUCCGUAGCUGGUCUGAGAGGAUGAUCAGCCACACUGAAACUGAGUCCCGUCCCGGACCCCUACGGGAGGCAGAGGUGGGGAAUUUGGGACAAUGGGCGCAGGCCUGACCCAGCCAAACCGCGUGGGUGAAGAAGGCCUUCGGGUUGUAAGCCCUUUUGUUGGGAAAGAAAAGCAGCAGGUUAAUACCCCGCUGUUCUGACGGUACCCAAAGAAUAAGCACCGGCUAACUUCGUG